GACGAACGCUGGCGGCGUGCUUAACACAUGCAAGUCGAACGAAGUGGCGAACGGGUGAGUAACGCGUAAUCAACCUGCCCUUCAGAGGGGGUUACCAGUUGGAAACGACUGCUAAUCCCGCAUACUGAAGGAGGGGAUUGCGUCUGAUUGGCUAGUUGGAGGGGUAACGGCCCACCAAGGCGAUGAUCAGUAGCCGGGCUGAGAGGAUGAACGGCCAAAUUGGGACUGAGAAACGGCCCAGACUCCUACGGGAAGCAGCAGUGGGGAAUCUUCCGCAAUGGAGGAAAGUCUGACGGAGCAACGCCGCGUGAGUGAUGACGGCCUUCGGGUUGUAAAGCUCUGUUAAUCGGGACGCGGUACCGGAAGAGAAAGCCACGGCUAACUACGUGCCAGCCGCCGCGGUAAUUC
rnacentral:rRNA from 1 species